AGGACACCGGGCCCAGACUCCUUACGGGAGGCAGCAGUGGGGAAUAUUGCACAAUGGGCGAAAGCUGAUGCAGCGACGCCGCGUGAGGGAUGAGCUUCGGUGUAAACCUCUUUCAGCAGGGAAGAAGCGCAAGUGACGGUACCUGCAGAAGAAGCGCCGGCUAACUACGUGCCAGCAGCCGCGGUAAUACGUAGGGCGCAAGCGUUGUCCGGAAUUAUUGGGCGUAAAGAGCUCGUAGGCGGUUUGUCGCGUCUGGUGUGAAAACUCGAGGCUCAACCUCGAGCUUGCAUCGGGUACGGGCAGACUAGAGUGCGGUAGGGGAGACUGGAAUUCCUGGUGUAGCGGUGGAAUGCGCAGAUAUCAGGAGGAACACCGAUGGCGAAGGCAGGUCUCUGGGCCGCAACUGACGCUGAGGAGCGAAAGCAUGGGGAGCGAACAGGAUUAGAUACCCUGGUAGUCCAUGCCGUAAACGUUGGGCACUAGGUGUGGGGCUCAUUCCACGAGUUCCGUGCCGCAGCAAACGCAUUAAGUGCCCCGCCUGGGGAGUACGGCCGCAAGGCUAAAACUCAAAGGAAUUGACGGGGGCCCGCACAAGCGGCGGAGCAUGCGGAUUAAUUCGAUGCAACGCGAAGAACCUUACCAAGGCUUGACAUGCACGAGAAGCCACCAGAGAUGGUGGUCUCUUUGGACACUCGUGCACAGGUGGUGCAUGGUUGUCGUCAGCUCGUGUCGUGAGAUGUUGGGUUAAGUCCCGCAACGAGCGCAACCCUCGUCCCAUGUUGCCAGCGGGUUAUGCCGGGGACUCAUGGGAGACUGCCGGGGUCAACUCGGAGGAAGGUGGGGAUGACGUCAAAUCAUCAUGCCCCUUAUGUCUUGGGCUUCACGCAUGCUACAAUGGCCGGUACAAAGGGCUGCGAUACCGUAAGGUGGAGCGAAUCCCAAAAAGCCGGUCUCAGUUCGGAUUGGGGUCUGCAACUCGACCCCAUGAAGUCGGAGUCGCUAGUAAUCGCAGAUCAGCAACGCUGCGGUGAAUACGUUCCCGGGCCUUGUACACACCGCCCGUCAAGUCACGAAAGUCGGUAACACCCGAAGCCCAUGGCCCAACCGUUCGCGGGGGGAGUGGUCGAAGGGGGUCC
rnacentral:rRNA from 1 species